rnacentral:rRNA from 1 species
UGGGGAAUAUUGGGCAAUGGAGGAAACUCUGACCCAGCGACGCCGCGUGCGGGAUGAAGGCCUUCGGGUUGUAAACCGCUUUCAGCAGGGAAUAAGCGCAAGUGAAGGUACCUGCAGGAGAAGCACCGGCUAACUAUGUGCCAGCAGCCGCGGUAAUACAUAGGGUGCAAGCGUUGUCCGGAAUUAUUGGGCGUAAAGAGCUCGUAGGUGGUUUGUCGCGUUGUUCGUGAAAUCUCACAACUCAAUUGUGAGCGUGCGGGCGAUACGGGCAGACUGGAGUACUGCAGGGGAGACUGGAAUUCCUGGUGUAGCGGUGGAAUGCGCAGAUAUCAGGAGGAACACCGGUGGCGAAGGCAGCCCCCUGGGAUAACACUGACGCUCAUGCACGAAAGCGUGGGGAGCAAACAGG